rnacentral:rRNA from 1 species
GGCAGCAGUGGGGAAUAUUGCGCAAUGGGGGAAACCCUGACGCAGCAAUGCCGAGUGAGUGAGGAAGGCCUUCGGGUUGUAAAGCUCUGUCAGAAGGGAAUAAUGGUGUAGGGUCCAAUAGGCCUUACAUUUGAAGGUACCUUCAAAGGAAGCACCGGCUAACUUCGUGCCAGCAGCCGCGGUAAUACGAAGGGUGCAAGCGUUGUUCGGAUUUAUUGGGCGUAAAGCGCGCGCAGGCGGAUUGUUAAGUCAGAUGUGAAAUCUCGGGGCUCAACCUCGAAACUGCGUCUGAAACUGAUAAUCUAGAAUCUCGGAGGGGGAAGGGGAAUUUCGCAUGUAGGGGUAAAAUCCGUAGAGAUGCGAAGGAACACCAGAGGCGAAGGCGCCUUCCUGGACGAGUAUUGACGCUGAGGCGCGAAAGCGUGGGUAGCAAACAGGAUUAGAUACCCUGGUAGUCCACGCCGUAAACGAUGUGCACUAGAUAUUGGAGGUUUGACCCCUUCAGUGUCGUAGCUAACGCAUUAAGUGCACC